GUUUGAUCCUGGCUCAGAGCGAACGUUAGCGGCGGGGCUUAACACAUGCAAGUCGAGCGAGAAAGGGGCUUCGGCCCUGAGUACAGCGGCGAACGGGUGAGUAACACGUGAGAAACCUGCCCCAGACUCUGGGAUAACCUCGGGAAACCGAAGCUAAUACCGGAUAUUCUCCUUUGGUCGCAUGGCCAGUUGAGGAAAGUUUUUCGGUCUGGGAGGGUCUCGCGGCCUAUCAGCUAGUUGGUGGGGUAACGGCCCACCAAGGCUACGACGGGUAGCUGGUUUGAGAGAACGAUCAGCCACACUGGAACUGAGACACGGUCCAGACUCCUACGGGAGGCAGCAGUGGGGAAUCUUGCGCAAUGGGCGAAAGCCUGACGCAGCAACGCCGCGUGCGGGAUGAAGGCC
rnacentral:rRNA from 1 species